UGGGGAAUAUUGGACAAUGGGCGAAAGCCUGAUCCAGCCAUGCCGCGUGUGUGAAGAAGGUCUUCGGAUUGUAAAGCACUUUAAGUUGGGAGGAAGGGCAGUAAGCGAAUACCUUGCUGUUUUGACGUUACCUACAGAAUAAGCACCGGCUAACUCUGUGCCAGCAGCCGCGGUAAUACAGAGGGUGCAAGCGUUAAUCGGAAUUACUGGGGGUAAAGCGCGCGUAGGUGGUUCGUUAAGUUGAAUGUGAAAGCCCCGGGCUCAACCUGUGAACUGCGACCAAAACUUGCGGGCUAGAGUAGGGCAGAGGGUGGUGGAAUUUCCUGUGUAGCGGUGAAAUGCGUAGAUAUAGGAAGGAACACCAGUGGCGAAGGCGACCACCUGGGCUCAUACUGACACUGAGGUGCGAAAGCGUGGGGAGCAAACAGG
rnacentral:rRNA from 1 species